rnacentral:rRNA from 1 species
AGUGAACGCUGGCGGUAGGCCUAACACAUGCAAGUCGAACGGCAGCACAGUAAGAGCUUGCUCUUACGGGUGGCGAGUGGCGGACGGGUGAGGAAUACAUCGGAAUCUACUUUUUCGUGGGGGAUAACGUAGGGAAACUUACGCUAAUACCGCAUACGACCUACGGGUGAAAGCAGGGAAUCUUCGGACCUUGCGCGAUUGAAUGAGCCGAUGUCGGAUUAGCUAGUUGGCGGGGUAAAGGCCCACCAAGGCGACGAUCCGUAGCUGGUCUGAGAGGAUGAUCAGCCACACUGGAACUGAGACACGGUCCAGACUCCUACGGGAGGCAGCAGUGGGGAAUAUUGGACAAAGGGCGCAAGCCUGAUCCAGCCAUACCGCGUGGGUGAAGAAGGCCUUCGGGUUGUAAAGCCCUCUUGUUGGGAAAGAAAAGCAGCAGGUUAAUACCCCGCUGUUCUGACGGUACCCAAAGAAUAAGCACCGGCUAACUUCGUG